UGGUAGGUAGCUCAGUGGUUAAGACAGUGGACUCCUGAUCAGAAGGUUGGGAGUUCAAAUCCCAGCACUACCAA